GGAGAGAUGCCGGAGCGGCUGAACGGACCGGUCUCGAAAACCGAGAGGCAACUCUACCGGGGUUCAAAUCCCCUCUCCGCCA
rnacentral:tRNA from 1 species